AUCCGGAAUUAUUGGGCGUAAAGCGCGCGUAGGCGGUCUGUUAAGUCUGAUGUGAAAGCCCCCGGCUCAACCGGGGAGGGUCAUUGGAAACUGGCAGACUUGAGUGCAGAAGAGGAGAGUGGAAUUCCAUGUGUAGCGGUGAAAUGCGCAGAGAUAUGGAGGAACACCAGUGGCGAAGGCGGCUCUCUGGUCUGCAACUGACGCUGAGGUGCGAAAGCGUGGGGAUCAAACAGGAUUAGAUACCCUGGUAGUCCACGCCGUAAACGAUGAGUGCUAAGUGUUAGGGGGUUUCCGCCCCUUAGUGCUGCAGCUAACGCAUUAAGCACUCCGCCUGGGGAGUACGGCCGCAAGGCUGAAACUCAAAGGAAUUGACGGGGACCCGCACAAGCGGUGGAGCAUG
rnacentral:rRNA from 1 species